rnacentral:rRNA from 1 species
GACGAACGCUGGCGGCGUGCUUAACACAUGCAAGUCGAACGGUGAAGCUCCAGCUUGCUGGCGUGGAUCAGUGGCGAACGGGUGAGUAACACGUGAGCAACCUGCCCCUGACUCUGGAAUAAGCGCUGGAAACGGCGUCUAAUACUGGAUACGAGAAGGGCCCGCAUGGGCACUUUCUGGACAUUUUUUCGGUUGGGGAUGGGCGCGCGGCCUAUCAGCUUGCUGGUGAGGUAGUGGCUCACCAAGGCGACGACGGGUAGCCGGCCUGAGAGGGCGAACGGCCACCCUGGUCCUGCGAGACGGACCAGACGCCUACGGGAGGCAGCGGUGGGGAAUCUUGCACAGUGGGCGCAAGCCUGAUGCAGCGACGCCGCGUGAGGGAUGACGGCCUUCGGGUUGUAAACCUCUGUCAGCAGGGAAGAAGCGAUAGUGACGGUACCUGCAGAAGAAGCACCGGCUAACUACGUG